ACUCAAAUGAAUUGACGGGGGCCCGCACAAGCGGAGGAACAUGUGGUUUAAUUCGAUGAUACGCGAGGAACCUUACCUGGGCUUAAAUGUAGAGUGCAUGGGGUAGAAAUACUUCUUCCCUUCGGGGCUCUUUGCAAGGUGCUGCAUGGUUGUCGUCAGCUCGUGCCGUGAGGUGUCGGGUUAAGUCCCAUAACGAGCGCAACCCUUAUCGUUAGUUGCCAGCGGGUCGAGCCGGGAACUCUAACGAAACUGCCGGUGUAAACCGAGAGGAAGGUGGGGAUGACGUCAAAUCAGCACGGCCCUUAUGUCCAGGGCUACACACGUGUUACAAUGGCCGGUACAGAGGGCAGCUACCUGGAGACAGGAUGCGAAUCUCGAAAGCCGGUCUCAGUUCGGAUCGGAGUCUGCAACUCGACUCCGUGAAGCUGGAUUCGCUAGUAAUCGCGCAUCAGCCAUGGCGCGGUGAAUACGUUCCCGGGCCUUGUACACACCGCCCGU
rnacentral:rRNA from 1 species